rnacentral:tRNA from 1 species
GCCUCGUUAGCGCAGUAGACGGCGCGUCAGUAUCAUAAUCAGAUUUAGAAGUCUGAAUGUCGUGAGUUCGAUCCUUACACGGGGCA